ensembl:lncRNA
GGUGGUAUCAGUGGAAUCAUAAGGCUCUUUAGAAGUGUGGGGGGCGGAGCAGAAGAGGUCAGAGUGGUGUGACAUGAGGACUCCAACUGUUAUUGCCAGUUUAGAAGGUGAAGGAAGGGGCCACAAACCAAGGAGUGGGGCAGCCUCUAGAUGCUGGAAAAGGCAAGGAAACAGAUUCUUCCCUAGAGCCCCCAGCAGGAACCGAGCACUGCUGACACCUCGAUACCAGCCCAUUGAGACUCAUGCGGAACCUCCUCGAACCUACAGAGCUUUAAGAUGUAAACUCCUUGAUUGCAGGGACUAUAUUUUGCUUGCCUUGGUGUCUUUCAAAAUGCCUGCUACAGUGCCUUGGUUAGCCAUGAAAAUAUUUAAAUUGAAUUAAUCAAAAGCACAUGUGGUCCUUUCCGAGUUGGAAUAGAGUGGGAAACACAUGAAAAUAAUUUUGAAAGGAAACCGUAUAGAACCUAUUUUGUGCUCACAAAGACUGGUUGUAAGAGAAAAAGUGAAAUGCACGUAAUCACACAUAUUGAAAAUAAAUACUUUGCAAGUGCUUGGAUUAACUGAAUUCAAUUUACAAAGAAGAUGAGCACUUUGAAUGAAAACAUAUAAUUGACGCCUACCACAGCAUGGCUUGCCAAGUGGUGCCGUGUCCGCACCAGGGAUCCGAACUGGCGAACCCCAGGCCUCUAAAGCAGAACGUGCGAACUUAACCGCUGCACCACAGGGCCAGCCCCUGAAUUAACUUUUAGUUUCCUGAUAGGAAUAGAAGUGCACAACUUAGCCACAUUCUUUCCAGCUUCUAGUUCACAUUGUUAUUUUCAAAAUCAUCCUCCCAUCUUCACCCUCACACCCCUAAAUACGUAUGUAACAGAAGCAGUAUAUUUUAACUUUCCCCUUCUGUCAUAUUUUCGUUUCAUCCAAUCUCCGACUCUUGUGUGCAACACUCUCCAAGUUCUGCGCUCAGGGUCUGAUUCUGUUUUAACCACCCACAUCGAGAGAACUCCCUUCUUCCCAUGGCUGUGCUGUUGCCCUCCUUGAGGGAGAGCACACGGACCAUAUGAGGAGCUCAUGCAUGGCGAGCUGACCUGGAGCUCUCUGUAGCUUUCCAGUCCUCCACCCUCAAGACCGUGUGCAUUUUUCUGAAGACUGACGGGACACCAUAGCAGUAAAAGCAGGCAUGGUGACUCAUGUCAGCAGGGAGAGAUUUCUACUAAAUUAAAAAACCAUUGUUAAAGGGAGAUGUUCAUCAACUGAUGCAUGGAUAAACAAUAUGGUGCAUCCAUACAAUGGAAUAUUAUUUGGCCAUAAAAGGAAUGAAGUACUAAUAGAUGCUACAACAUGGGUGGACUUGAAAACAUGCUCAGUGAAGGAAGUCAGUCAUAAAACGAUGGUAUUGUCUGAUUCCAUUUACAUGAAAGGUCUAUAAUAGGCAAAUCCACACAGACACAGAAGGUAGAUGAGUAGUUGCCUAGGGUUGGGGAUGCAUGAGAAAGGUUAGAGCAGAUGACUAAGGGAGGCAGAGCUUUUUAGGAGUGAUGAAAAUGUUCUAAAAUUGAUUAUAAU